rnacentral:piRNA from 1 species
AACUGUGGCUUUGGGCAUGGCAGCUG